AGAAGAAGUGUUUGUCAACAGAGCUACAGAAAAUGACUGAACUUUUGCUUGUUUCCUUAUUUAGUUUUUUCCUACUUGUAUUCAACAACAAAUUAUGAAAACAUUUUCCAUGCACGGAAAUGUCUUCCUGGUAGCCUUUCCCCUCUAAUCUGAAGCCUUCAACCACGAUGGUUCUAGUAAGAAGGGAAAGGAAGAUGUGUCACAUUACCUCAUUUUUACUGCAAGAAAAUUGUGAUUGUUACUGCUGCUUACAUGUGGAAAGAUGA
rnacentral:lncRNA from 1 species